AAAUUAUAAUUUUAAAGCCAAUCGUAUACAAAAGAAGUUCUUAAUGGAUUUGGUGCAAUCCAGUAUUGACUUUAAAAGAAUAAAUUAAUAAAAGAUUUUCUUUGAAUUCAGGAAAAGAUGUCUGCACUAUUUUUUUAGACGAAAGAAAAUUAUCAGGACUUAUUACGCAAAAAGUCGUAAUCAUUUCACAACACAAAAUGGCGUGAUUUCACUUCAAAACAAAAAUGACAAUCAGGACUUAUUCUAGAAUACACUGUAUUCCAAUUAAGAGUCUGUGGACAGCAUAGAAAUAAGGACGGAAAUCGAAGAGUCUCCGUCUUUAGAAAUGAAGGUCUUACAAGAUGAUACAAAGAACACUGGAUUUAACGAAAAUGGAAACGAGAAAUCUGGAAAAUGCGAACAAAGAGUUAUGUAUGAACAGCUAAAUUGUAAUAUGGAUGUACAACAUUGUGCAAAAAGCAA